UUAUUUUGAAACUCGUUAGUGCCGUGUUUCAGGAAGUUAAAAAGUGGAGAUGCUUUAGCUUUUUACUAGCAAUCAACACGUCUUUUUGUUUUAUUUGAGAGUUAAACAUGCGUGCAGAUAUGGCUGUGGACUGGUUUGGUUAUGGUUAUGCAGCUCUAAUAACGAUAGGAGGGGUUGUUGGUUAUGUUAAAGCAGGUAGUUUUUAUCUCUGGUUGCUGGGCUGAUGUUUGGCAUUGCAGCAUUUGUUGGUGCUUAUCAGAUGUCAAAGUAUGACAAGGAUAUCUGGGUUUCACUGGGCACCUCUGGAUCACUGACUGCUCUAAUGGGAGUGAGAUUUUUUGAGUUCAUGGAAGAUUAUGCCAGCUGGACUCAUGGCAGGAGCGAGGCAGGGAUAUUUUAUUUUAGCUGUUUGUUAUUUAUAUAUUAUGUAUGAUUUUUUUUUCCAAAAUUUUCAUUCAAAAAGACUUCCCAGAUAUCCAUAAUGUUGAUAUACAGACAAAAAAAAACAAUAUUUACAUAUGCUAUACUUGACAUUAACAUGGACAAAUGCAUUGUUUUGGUUGUUGAAUUAUGUUUUGUUCUUUGUCUUUGUUGAUGUUCCUGAGGAUUGGUGUGAAAGUGCUACAGAAUUCACAAAAGAAGAAACGAUGACACCAUUCAGAAACUACUUGCAGAUCCUGCUGAGAUGCACUGACACAGAUAUAUAUAUAUAUACUGACAUGUAUAGACAUUUCAUACAAGUUGUGUGAAGAAGACAACAAAAUUCAGUUUAGGGUCAUAUGGAAGUGCCUUCAUAACUAGAUGAACAAAUUAAAGCAAAUAAAAUGUAUUACUUUAUUGAGAUUCAAAUAGUUGUUGAUUUAUGUACGCUACAUAUUUACACAUUACAGAUGAUAUCCAUAUUCACCAUCUUGGGUAAUUGGUAAUUCCUCAAAAAUAUUUAGUAAUAUCAGGUACAGAUUUGUAACUCUUAUCUAAAAGUUUUAUAACCAAAGACAUCAUUAAUACAGCGUAUUGUUAGUCACAGACUGAGAUGUAUUUACUUUGACCUAUAGAGGGCCCCAAAAUCUUUAAAUAAAACCAGUAUUUUUAUUAUUAUUGUUCUUUUUAAAGCAUAUAAAGAUGUAUCAUAUUUGACACUUUUUUAUUAAAACAUAUUCUCACUACAAAUCACA